GAUUGAAGGUCGAUCGAAAAGUUUGUGUAAGCCCAGAUUGUGACUAUUAAGAGAAAAUUCAUUAAAUCUAAAUUGUAAUUUCAGUUUGAGAAACGUAAGGUGGAAUUUAAGAAAGCAAAAGUUGGCCCGGUAGCGAAAAGUUUUAAUCAGACAUUGUGAGUGACCUAGGACUGAAAAGUGUACAAGUAGAUAAUUGUUCAAUCUGUUUCCUAUUUCUAACAAUUCUCGCAGAAGAAACCUGGAAUUAAAUGGUCUGAAAGAAAAAAAAACUAAGAAAAGUGUAGUGUGGAAUACUGCACGUGUAAUACCUCCCUCGAGGCUCAGGACACUACUAUCCUUCAAGCGAAGGUGCUAGUGUAGGGUGUAGGGGAUAGCGACCAGCCACGCUGUCUCUAGGGACGAGUCAGAAGCUCGGCGACUUGUAGGCUCGCCUCGUCGUCCGCGCCAGUAUUCGACCCUCGCGCACCCUGGGCCGAAGGAAUCCACGCCUUCCGGAGGAAUUCGGACGCUACUAACCGAAUAUCGCUCCAUCGGUCUCGAAGGGAGAUUCACACCACGUGAGCGCAUUGGCACCGCCCAUCACCACCCC